rnacentral:snRNA from 1 species
AGAUAUGAGUGUUAAAUGGCUGUGACAUCUGUCCUACCAUUAAUGGUCAAGGUUGAUUCGGCCAAUCAGGUGGGCGAAGCUGGUGUCCCCAUUCUCCCCCUCUGCUCUGUGAGCACCCCUCUCACAGCUGCAUGCUCAUUGAAAGAGGAUAGCUUUCUUCAAAUAGAGAUGGACCUUCUUUGUUCAAGAGGUUAUUAGUAGCUGUGCUUCCCUGCUAGAACCUUCAAACAAGUUCUCAAAGGAGCUAAAAUUCGAUGGGCCGAGGAGAUGACCUUACAGUGUACAUGGUUUGUGU